UAAGGGAUAUUGGUCAAUGGGCGGAAGCCUGAACCAGCCAUGCCGCGUGAGGGAAUGAGGCCCUACGGGUCGUGAACCUCUUUUAUUCGGGGACAAGGACGCGGUCGAGAACCGAGUUUGAGGGUACCGAAGGAAUAAGCGUCGGCUAACUCCGUGCCAGCAGCCGCGGUAAU
rnacentral:rRNA from 1 species